CAGGUGGACUUCGUAGAAAGCGAAAUCCGGGACUGUGGGCGAGUGCUCGCGGCUUCCAUCGGAAGCCCCAGGGGCUUAGAGCACCGACCUUAAGGAAACCCCAGAAAGUUGGCGUCCUCUCCCCAAAGCUCCCGGAGGGGUCUAGGCGCCGACCCUCACCACCCGCAUCUCCGCAGGAGACUGAGGAACGUCAUGCAUGCUGAUGGACUUCCAGGACACGAUAAGGUCAUUCAAACCCCAAGACAGUGUUGCUAGGACUGUCGAUUAUCCCCACAAUGAUCAAAAGCAGUCUGCACACUCCAUCUCCUCCUCGCCUAUGAAGGGACUUGCCCCCAGCUGCCACAAGCUCUGGAAAGCAAUCUGAGACCCCUUAAAGGAAGAA